rnacentral:rRNA from 1 species
UGGGGAAUUUUGGACAAUGGGGGCAACCCUGAUCCAGCAAUGCCGCGUGUGUGAAGAAGGCCUUCGGGUUGUAAAGCACUUUUGUCCGGAAAGAAAACGUCGUGGUUAAUACCCGUGGCGGCUGACGGUACCGGAAGAAUAAGCACCGGCUAACUACGUGCCAGCAGCCGCGGUAAUACGUAGGGUGCAAGCGUUAAUCGGAAUUACUGGGCGUAAAGCGUGCGCAGGCGGUCCGCUAAGACAGAUGUGAAAUCCCCGGGCUUAACCUGGGAACUGCAUUUGUGACUGGCGGGCUAGAGUAUGGCAGAGGGGGGUAGAAUUCCACGUGUAGCAGUGAAAUGCGUAGAGAUGUGGAGGAAUACCGAUGGCGAAGGCAGCCCCCUGGGCCAAUACUGACGCUCAUGCACGAAAGCGUGGGGAGCAAACAGGAUUAGAUACCCUGGUAGUCCACGCCCUAAACGAUGUCAACUAGUUGUCGGGUCUUCAUUGACUUGGUAACGAGCUAACGCGUGAAGUUGACCGCCUGGGGNGUACGGUCGCAAGAUUAAAACUCAAAGGAAUUG